AUGCAAGUAACAAUAUUGCAGCAGCCAAGUUACUUAAGCAGAAGCAUCCUCAAAUAUUCUGGACCUCAUGUGCAGCCCACAAUCAACCUAAUGCUCCAAGACAUUGGAAAUAUACCCAUAGUCAGCUCAACAAUUACCAAUGGUAAGACCAUCACAAAUUUCUUUUAUGCACACACUAGAUUGUUGGCUAUUCUUCACAAGUAUGCCAAAGGUGAUUUAGUCAGAGCUGGUGCUACUCGAUUUGCAAGUCACAACUUGAACUUGAAGAGUUUGUAUGGAAAGAGGAAGCAACUGAAGCUAAUGUUUGCAUCAAAUGAUUGGGUUGGCAGUAGUUAUGCUUAG
rnacentral:rRNA from 1 species